UAGGGAAUCUUCGGCAAUGGGGGGAACCCUGACCGAGCAACGCCGCGUGAGUGAAGAAGGUUUUCGGAUCGUAAAGCUCUGUUGUUAAGGAAGAACGAGUGUGAGAAUGGAAAGUUCAUGCUGUGACGGUACUUAACCAGAAAGGGACGGCUAACUACGUGCCAGCAGCCGCGGUAAUACGUAGGUCCCGAGCGUUGUCCGGAUUUAUUGGGCGUAAAGCGAGCGCAGGCGGUUAGAAAAGUCUGAAGUUAAAGGCAGUGGCUCAACCAUUGUAGGCUUUGGAAACUGUUUAACUUGAGUGCAGAAGGGGAGAGUGGAAUUCCAUGUGUAGCGGUGAAAUGCGUAGAUAUAUGGAGGAACACCGGUGGCGAAAGCGGCUCUCUGGUCUGUAACUGACGCGGAGGCUCGAAAGCGUGGGGAGCGAACAGG
rnacentral:rRNA from 1 species